rnacentral:rRNA from 1 species
UACGUAGGGGGCAAGCGUUGUCCGGAUUUAUUGGGCGUAAAGAGCGUGUAGGCGGCCAUACAGGUCCGUUGUGAAAACUGGAGGCUUAACCUCCAGACGUCGAUGGAAACCGUAUGGCUAGAGUCCGGAAGAGGAGAGUGGAAUUCCUGGUGUAGCGGUGAAAUGCGCAGAUAUCAGGAAGAACACCCGUGGCGAAGGCGGCUCUCUGGGACGGUACUGACACUGAGACGCGAAAGCGUGGGGAGCGAACAGG